GUCCUUUUAUGGUUCAUAAACAUGAUGUCUGGUAUUCACAUUAUAUUGUGACACGUGUGUCCCUCAAAUCUGUUACAAUUCUGGCAUAUUGCCACGUGGACA